rnacentral:lncRNA from 1 species
GGUUGAAAAAAAUAUAAAAGGGGCUAGUGUCAGUUGCUGACAGAUGCUGGCAGUUGCAGGAAAGGUGGUGCCUGGGAGUGUGUUGGGCAUUUAGUUGCUGGAAUAUAAAAGGAAUCUUCAUUACAACAUGCCUGACAAGUGGGCUUAUAGAGUCUUCUAGAAUUCUUCUUCCAGAGAAAGAUGAUUAUUUCCUUCUGGACACAGUGUGA